ensembl:lncRNA
AGUCCACAGGACACCGACCACAUGUACAGUAAGAGGCCUUACAGCUCUCCACCCAGAGAGCAUGUUAAUGUGAGUGAAGAUUAACCCAAGAGAACAACAUAUCCAGUGUUCACAGCUGUGCACUAAGCCAUGACUUUGUGUGUCUUGAUUAAGGACUAUAAUGACAGCAUGGACUAACAUGAUGUGGUCACCACAACCAGAGACGUUGGUCUCCUGAGUGAAGACGCAUCUUUCCACAGGCUUGUGAUUUUAGGAAAGGGCUCAGCAAGCUGAACACCAUAGAAAAGUCACUAGUGACCUUCAUGUAACGUUCAUCACUCAGGAUAACGGUCUACUGCAACAUCUUGAAGAGGUCAUCGCAUGAAAAAUUACAUCCUCAUGGGCAACAUCAAAGGGCAGGGUGAUCAUUUUCUUUGUGGAGGAUGAGCAGCUGGACAGAGUGCUGGGCUUCUUCACAAGCCUGGUUGAAGCACAGACAACCAGAUGUCACAAUCACGUGGCAUUUGAUAUGGAUGUGCUUCUGCCAGAGGCAACAGUCCACGCCCUUUCAGCUGUCCAUGCAUUUUCCAUUGACAGAGCGACAGAAGUGUAUAAAUGUGGACUGCAGUAUGACUUGAGGUAUGCUACAUACAUAAGGAGAGUGCUAAUACCUAUAAGUAUUGUUUUUUACAUUGUUUAUGACAGCCUUUCUGUGUGAAUUUCCUUUUACUAAUCGCUAUUUUCUUCCAUUUUGUCUCAUCAGUGAGAAACGGCUGUUGGCUCAUUACAUGACAAACAACAUGAGCAAGCAGGCUCUAACAGCAACUAGAAACAUAUGCUGAAAAACUCAGAAGAGCUCUGGACUCUGAGGAGUUUUUGAAGACGCUUUAGUAUGUAUGUACGGAUGAAUUAAAAAAUAGUCUGUGAAAUGAUAAUGUUUUAUUUUAUUGCCAAUAAAAGUUGUUGCUGGCUAAUUCAUUUGUCUCAACUUUUGUGUUUUGAGGUACAUAUUUUAAAGACCUGUGUAUGGUCAUAUUUAUAAAUACAUAAAUACAUUUUAUUUGUGUCAAAGGGCGAGCAAUCUUUUCUGUUAACCCAUAAGAAAUCAUCACCUUAGAGUGAUAAUUAUGGCAUCUGAUGUAGUAGGCCAAGCUCUGUGACAGUGUGGCUCUUAGAAAAACGGCUGGUGGAAACAACCUAUUUUAAAUGAAAUGACUACGACUAAUUAUUAUUAUUAUUGUAAAUAUUUUAUUUUAUUGAGUUUAAAAAAUAACCUUGUGCACAUACAUUUGUCACUUAUAUAAAAAAUGAAAAGUUGCAUGCACCAGAUUUAGCAGUCCUAUAUAAUCUUUUAUCAGAUUAAUCUUUUAUCCCAAUCUUUUAUUUUUUUUAUUACUUAACUUUCUAUUUUUGUAUAUAUUUAUUGUUUCCAGCACAUUGUUUGCAUUGAAAAGCAUUUAAUGUGUGUGUUUAAUGUUUGAAUCAACCGUUAAAGUUGUUAAAAAUGAUCUGGUUAUUGCUUUGUUUCCUUUGUGUUUGCUUUCUAAGUGCUCUGGGCCUCCACAGCCACCGUAGUGUUGUAUGGGCGUGUUUUGUAGGGGGCGUGUUUUGUAAUGGGCGUGGUUUGUAGCGGCUCUGGCUUGGCUGCGGUUGCAGCUAGACCCUUCUCCAUCACUCACGCUCUGGUCAACCCGGAAGUUUAAAAACUCUUACAGGUCAUGAACUCUCACACGCAAUAAGAAUUACUUUUCAACUGCUUUUAAAACAUUCAGAA